UCGAGGGGCAUCAGGAAGAAAGCUUGCUUUCUUUGCUGGCGACCGGCGCACGGGUGAGUAACACGUAUCCAACCUGCCUCAUACUCGGGGAUAGCCUUUCGAAAGAAAGAUUAAUAUCCGAUAGCAUAUAUUUCCCGCAUGGGUUUUAUAUUAAAGAAAUUCGGUAUGAGAUGGGGAUGCGUUCCAUUAGGUUGUUGGUGAGGUAACGGCUCACCAAGCCUUCGAUGGAUAGGGGUUCUGAGAGGAAGGUCCCCACAUUGGAACUGAGACACGGUCCAAACUCC
rnacentral:rRNA from 1 species